GCUGUGGUGGCUCAGUGGUGGAAUUCUUGCCUUCCAUGCAGGAGACCCAGGUUCGAUUCCCAGCCAGUGCA
rnacentral:tRNA from 1 species